rnacentral:lncRNA from 1 species
CCGCACACGUACUCUGGCGCAGCCAGCGCGGCGCGCCCAUUCGCGCCCCAGCGCUUCAUGCCGCGCCAGCGUCGCCAUGUGCAGCGGACCAUGCUGCUGAAAAUACAAAAUUCAUGUCGGCCGCGCAGCACCCCAUAGCCCGACAUGCUGCCGCCGGCUCCGACGCAAGCAGCUGCGGCCGCCCCAGUGUACCGCCGCCGGGCUCACGCCACGCGGCAGCCAAGGGAACAGCAGGCACCCGGACCGCUACACUGCACUAGUGCCCCGACACCGUGCGCCUGCCUGAGCCGCUGCUGUCGCUCCAUGAGCUCCACGACUGUUUCCGCUGCUGACCAGCUGCCCACUGCUGCCACCGCUACGCACUCCACCGGCAUCAAGGAAACUCGACCGCCGGCGGCAGAGCUCCAGCCCACAACAGACACGAAGCCCGCAUGCGCAGCUCGCCGGCAGCCGGGCGGCCCGCUCAGUCCGUCAGCCCCAUACGGGUUGAGGGAAGGCGCUUAGGCGGAGCCCAGGGUCUCGGGCAGGUGGGUCAGGUAGUAGGUGAUGUUCUUGCCGAAGGGGUCAGCCAGGUGGGCAGUCAGACCCUCAAUGGGCUGGGUGCGGGUGGCCAGGGCCUGGACGCAGAAGCCAAUGAAGGCAACCUGCGGGCGGACAGAAGUAGAGACAUGAGGUUAAGGAAUUCGGUCAUUCGGUCAGCUCAUAUCUGUGGGUGCAACGAUGUAGGAUUAUCUUCAUGCCAGCUACGCUGGAGGCAUGGCCAUACAUCACUGGCAUCCCACUGCUCGCAUCCCUGGGCGGACCCGUGGCGUUCCCUAUAACGCCUGUUAGAAGUGCGCAGCCCUUGCACCAGUCAACCCGACGCACCAUGGCCAGGCGGCCGUUCUUGACCUCCUUGGUGGCCAUGGACGGGGAGUUCAUGCCAGCGGGGUCGAAGGGGAAGGAGUUGAUGAAGCCGGACUGCGCGGGGGCACGAAGAGAGAGAGAAACAGACAGGCUCAGCGAGAUAGCCGGAUGCAGUGAUCGUAUCCAAUUCCGCCACGGAUACGCUGCUCGCAUCACAGGUUGCUGCCUACCGCUGACGCAGACCCCGGGGUGCCGCGUGGGCACCUCCCCACUGCGCAAGCGCCUCCGUACCUCAGCCCUUCAGCGAUCCUGAACGGUCCCGCCCUCGCUCCAGAUCCCCUGUUACAUCCCCGUGCUCGCGAAGCAGACCAGCGCCAUGUGCACCGCCUCAUCCCCACCCGCCCCGCCCCGCCCCGGCCCCGCGCCUCAUCCCCGCCCGCCCCGCCCCACCGCGGCCCCGCGGCCCCGCGCCUCAUCCCCACCCGCCCCGCCCCCCCCCCCCGGCCCCGCGCCUCGCCCUGCUCACAGUGCCGGUCUGCUUGAAGCCCUGGUAGCGCUUAAUCUCCAGGAAGCCCAUCACGAUGAACUCAAUGGGGGUCAGAGCCUGGGCAGGGAUGUCGUACUCCUUAGCGCCAGCCUCCCACCAAGCGGGGGUCACGCCCAGCAGCUCCUGGCCCAGGAUACCGGCCACGGCCAUCAUGGCCCAGCGGCCGUUGGUCUUCUCGGCCUCAGCAUACCUGAUCAAGGAGAUAGUCGGGCCAAGUCAGCGACGGGGGCAGCUCGGCAGCAUCGCGAAGAAAGAGCAAUUUUGGCACCUGUGGUAGAAACUUACCACUUGAGGCGGCCCUCGUCCUGGCCCAGGCCCAGAGGGUCGAAGCCGUUGUCACCUACAAUCCAGUGUCGGUCGAGGCUGGUCAGAUCACCUGGACUCGCUGAAACUCUUUGCGCUGAUGCCGAAUGCAAGCGACGGGAGCGUCAGUCCCCCGCAACUCCGCUGAUCGGCAUGCAAUUCGACACAUGUGAGCGCCAGCGUUCACAUUCAAGAGCUGCCGCGACUUUUCGCCUCGUCGACGCGCCAAAGUGCUGCAUUCAGCUUAGUGCUUGCCCCAUCACACUGCUCCCCGACUAGUAAAAUGUCGCCGCGGGCUCCUCACCGGCCAGAGCGCCCUUCAGGUGGGCAGGGGGGUUCAGGCCGGGCAGCCAGGUGGGGCGAGCGGACGCGGCAGCGACAACGCGCUGACCGCGGACGGGGGCACGGCGGCCCAGCGCAACCUGGCUCUUAGCAGCGAUCAUCUUUCAAUGAGCUAGGACUGGUGUGACGUGAGCGUAACACAAAGCGGUCCGUUCCGCGGAAGGGCACAAAGCCAACGCGAUUGAGAAGAUCCGGCCAUCUCGUCCGUACAUCUGCCUGUUUUCUUGGCCGGUUAAAAUGGAAGGUAAUGAUUAUCAAUUUGCGGUCAUGUUCAUCCAUUUGCUGACCUAUUUGUCCGCCCCGCCCCGCCCCGCCCCGCCCCGCCCCGCCCCGCCCCGCCCCUCCCCUCCCCUCCCCUCCCCUCCCCUNNNNNNNNNNNNNNNNNNNNNNNNNNNNNNNNNNNNNNNNNNNNNNNNNNNNNNNNNNNNNNNNNNNNNNNNNNNNNNNNNNNNNNNNNNNNNNNNNNNNUCCCCUCCCCUCCCCUCCCCUCCCCUCCCCUCCCCUCCCCUCCCCUCCCCUCCCUUACCUUAUGGGAAUCCAUGUGUGCGUCUCCAGCUAAAGAGGCGCAGAAGAUCCACACCAGUCAGCUGAGCCACGGCGUUGCUCCACACAUGGUUCAAUGGUAUCGACCGGCCCUCCAAGCUGCUCCAUUCGCUGUAGGCAGCCUUCAGCAGCCGCGCCUGAUCCUCGGUGAAGACCCGACGGCCGACCGGCUGCUGGUCAGCCACCCGGUGCCAGGCCUGCUGCAGUGCCACCAGCACCUGGGCACCGGCGUCCGGGUCCCGGGCAGCAUUGCGGCGGUCACGUGCUUCUGUGCCACCCUUGCUGGCCCACGCAGAUUGUUGCUGCAACAUAAUGAAAAUGGAAAACAAGCGGGUUGAUUGUCGGUUAUAGAGGUCAGGGUGGGCGUUUGGCGCGAAGAACGCCGCUUGCAGCAUGCUGGGCGACGGUUCGUCUGAAUUGGGCGUUCGCUCAGCGGCGGGCACCAAACACUACAUGUAAUCUAGCAGUGCUUAUGCGAUGUCAAAUGCCCUACUUCCCAAGCACGCUGGAGCGGACCCCUGGUUCGCUGCGGCGUGCCUGGGGCGGCCCCGCCCUGCACGCUGCAACAACUAGCCAAAAUAAGUUGGACAUUCGCGUUGCAACCAGCUGGCCAAACUCAACUUUACAGCUGCGGACCCCUCCAGACCCCUCAGGUCAACAGCCCCGUACGGGGGUCUGCAGCGUGGAGCUGCAGGCACGAGUCCUGUUGAAUCAAUGCAAACGUUACAUCAACUUUGGCCCGCCAGCGCCAACUCGCCAAUUACUGUCUUCAUCAGCUCAAGGGCUCCACUAAGCUUCAAUACCACUCGCCCGUGUGCGGUCCCUGGGCACGCGCAUAAUCCGCAACCAUAAGCAACCCCCACCUGCACCCGCAGCCCUGCAUCCAAUCUGCCUGCUUCUCCAGGCGUGCACACACGCAUGCCACCUGCCUCGAGCAUACAGGCUGCGUCCUACAGCUAUCUGGUGCCCUGUGGUCGUACUAGCUAGCCCGCACAAGCCUUCUAACUGCCGUGCCCUGCCAGCCACCGACUCCGCCAGCGACUCGGCCCACGACCAUGUUGUCGCAGUCCAAAACAAAAACUACCUGCCUCCUGACCGCAUACCGUGUGCCUACCGACCCUGCCGCUGCCUGCCUGCCUGACGUACCGCACAUACAUACUUACAUGCCCCCAGUAUACGCUAGUGCAGCUACUGCCUGGCCUGCUGUGUCCUACCCUGCUACUCUGUCUGACCUGGCACUCCUGGCCGAUCACGCGCACGCGUGUUUCCCACACCCCGACUGCACGCAUGCCCCCCCCCCCCAGGGCAGCUGGCUGGGCAAACGGUUUCCAUGCCGGCGGCACGCACGUCACACCACCGCGCCAGCCUACAUUGCCACGCACCCCGGGCUGCUGGCAAGCCCGCCAGCCGCGCCGGCCACAGCAGGGCUGCUGUCGGCAGGCCGCGAGGGACUGCUGGCCGUGGCUGCCGUGGGGCUUGCGGCAGCUGUGGGGCUGGCAGUCGCGUGGCCGACAGCCGGCGCAGCCGCUUGCGGCAUGGGUUCAGCCGCUUGCAGCGCCACGGCCGCUUGCGGCAUUGGUUCAGCCGCUUGCGGAGCCACGGCCGCUUGCGGCAUGGGUUCAGCCGCUUGCGGAGCCACGGCAGGCACCGCUCCUGUAAGCCCCGCGCGCUCCGCAGCGGCGUCGGCAGCAGCUACGGCGACUGCAACCGCGCGGUCGUAGGCCGCGGUGCCGGGAACGGCGGGCGCGCCUACGCACAUGCGGGCUGCGGCAGCGACGCCACCCCCCAGCUGCUGCGCAGCUGCCGCUGCCGCAGGCACCGCCAGCACCAGCCGCGGCAGCGGCAGCGGCGCAGCCGCACCUGCCGGGCCGCCGUGUGCUGCCGCCGGAGGCGCCGCCCUGCCCCUGGCAGGCUGCGGUGCUGCUGCUGCUGCUGCUGCUGCUGCUGCUGCUGCGGCGUCGGCUCCUGCUCCUGCCCCUGCUGCUGGCCCCGCCGCCGCGACCUCCAGCUGCCGCUGCACGUGCUUGUUCAGCAGGGCCUUCAGGGCGAGGGUGGCGGCCCGCACGAUGGGGUGCGGGUUGCCGCGGGGCUGCGCGGCGCACGUGAUGUUCAGGUGCCCCGCCACUCCCGCCUUGGCGACCGUUGCCUUCAUGCGGCAGCCGUGUGAGUGGGCCCUGCGCACGCCAGGACAGGACAGCCAGGGGGCGAGCGGGGUCCGGGUUGGGGUUGGGAGGCGCGGAAUGGUGUGGUGACAUGGCGACAGGGCAGGACUGCAAGGGCAGGGCUGCGCAGGGAGGGCAAGCAUGCCGUUGCUGUCAUCGCCGGCCAGCUGCCUGCUGCGCCAGCGCCGAGCACAAACCCGCCUAAAGGCAAAGUAAGCCUCACAGCCGCUCAUGCCAGCUCCCAAACAGCUCCCAUCCGUCCGCCCAUGCCCCCCAUGCUACCGUACUGCCGUAUCCCGACGGACCUUCACCCACCCUAUGGGCUGGCGGUUGGCUUCGGGGUCCCGUGUCUCCGCUGAACGGCAUGUACUAGGGGCGCCCCCACCACCAUGAGUCCAUGACACACACAACUACACUGUACUCACAGACGCUGUUUCCCUUCACAACACACACACACACACACACACACACACACACACAUACACACACGAGACUCACAGCAAGUGCAUGGCCUGGAACUCGGGCGUGUUGAUGGCCUUGGCGACGGACAGCCAGGCACACGCAUGCUCCAGCGCGUUCUGGGGGUCCGGCGACCUGCGCACCGCCUCCAGGGCGUGCAGAUCCAGCUGCACCCGGGCCCGCCUCUGCUUCGCCCCGGGACGCCCCUUUGCCGGCAGCUCCUCCACUUCAAAGUCAACCUCGCCUGCGCUCCCGUAGCCGUAGCCGUCGUCAUCGCCACCGGCCGCAGCUCCUCUGGCACCGGCACCGGCGCCAUGGCCGGCGCCAGCGAGCGGCAUCGCUGCCAUGGCCGUGCCGCCGCCGUGGCUGCCGCCGGCCUGCCCGGCCUGCGCCGCCAACCCAUGUGCAGCCGCCCCUGCGGCCGCACCGCCGGCCGCCGCAGAUCCGCCUGGGGCGGCUGCGCGCUGCUCGGCCGCCGCCGCCGCCGCCAUGAGCGCGAGGGUCCGCGGAUACUCUGCCGGGGGCGCUCCGCCCGCAGCGCCCGCAGCGCCCGCGCCACCCGCGCCGCCGGCUUCGCCCUGUGCCAGCGGGUUCACCACACGGUGUUGGAGCAGGAGUGCGUCUAACCGGGCACGGAGGGCGGCGCAGGCGGCGCGCACCGCCUGCUGCGGGUCCACGUGGUGCAUGCGCGUGGCGCGGCUGAGGACCAGUUCGGCGGUGUGCACCUCGUUAUUGCGGAGCCGCAGCUGCACCUUGAGCUUGCAGCCGUGCUUCUUGGCGCUGCAGGACAGCGGGAGCGGGGGCGGGGCGGCAAGGGCCGUCAAUUGCAGGACAGAGUGAUCAGGGGCGGGGCGGGGCGGUAGAGCAAUGCAGGCGAAAGGGGUGGAGGUGAGAGGGAGCCUGGGUGCUGAGUCAGGAGGCGGCUGGGCAGGCCCCUGCGCCCGCAUCACUGCCACAAUACCCGAAUGCCAUCGGCUCAAUCUUGACGCCCAGCCCACAGUCUUGCGCCUUCCAAGCUGCCCCUUCCCCCAACCCCGGAGCGCCCAACCGCCCGCCCGCCCGCGCCCCUCCAGCGCUCGCCGGCUCCGGCCCCGGCCCCCGGCCCCGGCCCCGGCCCCAGCCCCGGCCAUGGCCCCGGCUUCGGCCCCGGCCUCACAUCUGAGAGAGACUUUUGAAGUCGGGCGUGUUCCGAGUCCGUUCCCACACCAGCCAGUUGUAGACCAGCCGCAGCGCCUGCGCGGCGUCGCCCGCCGCCUGCACCGCCUGCAAUGAGGCCAGCGGCACCGUGUCCCGCGCGCUGCGCUUGGGCUGCCGCGCCCUCAGUCCCCGACCCUGCUGGUGCUGCUGGGGGUGCUGGUGAGGGUGCUGGUGGUGGGAAUGGGGCAGCUGGUGUUUUUGAUAGGGAUGCUGCUGGUAGGGAUGCUGCUGAUAGGGAUACUGCAGGUGGGGUUCCUGGAGGUGUUGUUGCAUGGGCAUGUCCUCCACAAGCACCACGUCGUCACCAUCCUCGUCCUCAUCCUCCUCGUCGUCCUCGCCACUGUCGUCCAGGAUCUCAAUGGCGUCGUCCUCGCCGCCGCGGCCAUCACCCUCGCCCGCCGCGCCGGCGGCACCGACAGCGGCAGCGGCAGCGACAUCGCCACCGACACCAGCAGCACCGCCGCUGCCGCCGCCGCCAGCACCCGGCACGUCAGCAUCUCGCUCGUGCCGCGGUGCCUUGGCGGCGGCGCCGCCCUCCGGCUCCUCCAGCGCCUCAGCCUUGCGCUUUGCACCCACCACCGGCAGCGCUGUCGCCGCCAUCGCCGCAGCCGCGCCUGCAGCCGCGCCUACAGCGCCAGCAACACCGGCUGCCCAGCCCGCCCCGGCCUCGACCUUCAACGGGAGGCCCGGCUGCAGCUGCUGCGGCCCACUGUCUGUCAGCAAAAACCUCAUCCAUGGCCCUGGCCCCGCGCCUGCGCCCGCGGCUGCGCCCACACCCGCACCCGCACCCGUGCCCGCGCUCACACCCGCGCCCGCGCCCGGCCCUGCAGCUGCAGCCGCUCUUGCAGCUGCAGCUGCGCCUGCUGCUGCUGCUGCAGCGCCUGCCGCAGCGCCUGCCGCUGCGCCCACGCCCAUGCCAGCGGCCGCUGGGCCGCCCCUGCCUGCGCCCGGCCGCGGGUACAGCGCCGACAGCAACAUGUCCGCGGCGCGAGCACCGCCCUUGCGGGCGCCGCGUGUGCCGCGACCCCAGAGCGGAGCGCUGUGGCGGCCGCCGCCGCUGCCGCCACCGCCACCGCGCUGCGGCUGGUGGUGCUGCGGCUGCUGCAGCUGCGUUGGUUGCUGCUGGCGGGUGCCGUGCUUGCCGAGCCAGUAGGUGAGAAAAUCCUGCCACUCCGCGUGCCAGGCAUUGGCGCGGCCGCUGAUGGCCUCCCUGCGCGUGCGGGUGUGUGUGCGUGUGGCGCGGGAGGGCACAGCCGGGCAUUGGCGACUGGAAGACCGUAUUCAGGUGUCCCCAGGGAUCUCCUGCAGCCGCCGCCAUGCCGCCGCCCCCACGCCAUCGCCCCCUAUCGCCGGCCCCAUGCCACUGCCUCCUAUCACCGCCCCCCAUCCCAGCCGUGCGCCCCAAGUACCCGCCUGCCGCACCCACAGGAGUUUGCCGCUCGUCACAAAGGCGGGGUGCAGCACCUCCACGCACAUGCCCGCGUCCAUGGCCUUGCGCACACGGGAGGUGAAGUCGUCGUCGCCCGUGAUGAGCACGAGCACGCCCUGUGCCGCGCGGCCGGUGGCGAUCUGCCGCUCAAUGAAGCCGUCAAUUUGCUGCACAGGAGGGGCACGCAUGGCGUUGAGAGACGUGCGGGAUAAAGGAUUGUAGCACGUGUGGACAGGGCCACACACGCCACGCUUGGCCCGGGCGCGUUCCCGGCUCCUUUGUGCCCGCGUGUGCCUCAGCAGUCAUGAACGACCCGCACGGGCCUGCAAGCCCCUUCGUGCGCAGGCAUAGGCACCAUGCACAGGUACCCAGGCACACACCUUGAGCAGCUUCUCAUCAGUGGACGUGCUCUUGGGGCCGCCCGACGCGAGGACCACAGUGACGUUGUUGCACAGGUAGUCAACCUGGACGUCGCCGUGCGCGGCAGCCAGCGCGGCCAGCGACUUGCGCGUGAGCGCAGUCAUGAAGGCGUGGCACUUGCGGCGCGGCAGGAUCUGGAAGGCGUUGGAUAUCGCCCUACAGGUGUGUGUGCAGCGCGCGGGUUGCGAGGGGGGAAACGGGUUGGGCUGGAGGAAGACGCAGAGCCUACGCACCUCUCCACCUCCGCGACGGGGACGUUGCUGGGUAGCUGCGCAUUUUCUAUGUCCCACGCGAUAAGCACGUCCUUCUGCACAGCCCCGUCGCGCGAGUCCGCCUCCAGUCGCUGCAAAUUGGCAACGAGCGGGUCCACCGGCUGCCCAUCUCUCUGGGGCUCUGUUUGCAUUGACCCCUCCUAUUUCAUAUUAGGAGAUAAGCUAACCUAAUAUUGCGUUGGGCUUGGCGCAAUUGCAUUUGCCUCAUUCACGCCGGCUGCCCCGGCUGCAGCAUUCUCCUGACAGAAGCAAGAAUAUAAGGGAAAUCCCGGUUGUCAGGUGCACGGUGGAAAACUAUGAUACAUUCCCCUUCCAAGGCCUAAGAGCCCAAAGGCCGGUUGUCUGCGUCAUGCACGAUCGCCCCGACACGCAGCAGGCCGAAGUAACCCAACGUGCAAGUCCCCAAACCACGCAUCCAACCAUGUAUCCAGCCUGUGAACUUGGUCACCUCACCCGCUCUGAACCAGUCACUUCCUUGUUCAGCCCCCUUGCACGCCCCUGCGACGCAACCUGGUGUGCAUGUUGGGUCCCGUCCCUCACCAGUACCCUGCACUUGCGGGUCCUUGUCAUUUCAAUCAGAAGUAAAACAUCCAGUAUCAUCACCAAAGGCAUCAGUCCCCAAUCCACUGCCCAUCAUGCUCGUCAUCGAGUCGCCGUGCUGUGAACCCACGCCUCACGCGAAGCGGUACCCGCAAGCCCCACGUCCCUUUACAGAGCUAACAACUCAUAAAUCCUGCCAUUAACGCAUACUUUGACCGCGGCCUUACGGGCUGCCGCUGACCUGCUGCGCAUGCGGCGCGCAGCGCGGCGGGCCGCGCCGCUGGCGCGCAAGCGCCUGGUGCCGCUGCUGCCGGCUGCUGCGAUUCGCCCAUUGCCCCGCCGGCGGGUUUUACCGCCGGCGCCCCUGACCGCAAGCGCAUUGCCACCCUUGGCUCUAACCUCAACGCCACCCGAGGCUGCUAGCGCCUGGUCCAGCAUUGCGCGGAGCUGGUUGGCAGCGAGCUGUGCGGCCCGCUCUGCUGCGGGGCGGGGCGCGCCGCCGUCCAAACACGUGAGCAUGACACGGGUCCGAUGACCGGUGGCAGACCGUGCCUCCACCUUGAAUGCACAGCCAAGAUCAAGCGCCCUGUGAGCGAUUGCAGGAACAGUGACAUGGUAUCCAAAGUGCACAAUACGAGUGCCACGGCAACCCGGAUGUACACGGUACGGUAUGCCAUCAACGAUUCUGCACCGCCCGCACUGACCGCACCCGAAGCAAGGUUGGUUGCGCGGUGUGUGUUUACCAUCCCUCCACCGUCUGUACCUGUCCCCAACUCACUUCUUUUGAAGGCUGGAGUACAGGGCGCUGCGGGUGCGCUUCUGCUCCACCAGCCACCGCCGCACCGCCCCCAGCGCCUCAGCCUUGUCGGCCGCCUGCCUCACCACAUCAAGGCUGGACAGUAGCAGCGUGGCGCGUGCGGGUUUAGGUCGGCGCUGCUUCGCUACCUGCUGCGCCUGGGCGCUCAGCAGCCGCCGUCCCCGCUGCCGGGCCCCCUCCAUCCCCUCCUCCUCCACCUGCAGCCGCUGGUGACCCCUGGUGCCCGUGGCAGCAUCACAAGCACUGCUAUCGCCUCCCGCCGUCGCCGUCGCCGUCGCUGGCCCUUCGCAGUCCGCUUCACGCCGCUGCCGCGCCUUCACCGUGCGUCUGCCACUGGUGCCGUGCGGCUGCUGGGUCUCGGCCUUGCGCUUCUUGCCAAACCCCGCUGCCGCCCUCACCGCCACACCGCCGCAGGGCGGGCGGACCCCCCUGCUGCAGUGCUCCACCCACAGCACCUCUGCCAGCCGCUGCACCUCGUCGCCUCCGCCGCACCUUUCGCAGCUUUCGCCGCCAUCUCUGCAGCCGCCACCGCCUCCGCUGCCUCCGCUGCCUCCACAGCUCCCGCAGCCGUCGUCCCGCCGCUGUUGGAUGCGCUCCGCGUUAAUGCUCAGCAAGCACGCCAGGUCCCGCGCCGGCAGGCUGGUCCGCAGCAGGCCCUCAACCGCCGCAACCUCGUACACCGGGUAGCGGGGCACCAGCCGCUGCAGGUGGGGCUGCUGCCGCUGCUGGGCGCCGUCGUUAUCGUCCUCCACGUCAUGGGGGGGCACCAGCCGCUGCACGUGGGGCUGGGCGCCGUCGUCAUCGUCCUCCAUGCCAUCAGGAGUCACGACGACGAUGUCACCAGAACCCGGUAGUUGCGAGCGCGGCAGCCCCAGUGCCGCCUCCACUGUGAGGAGCGCGCUGGCCGCAGCCCGCAGCAUGCGCUUACGCAGCUUCCGCCACCGGUUCUUGGUGCAGCUGCGAACGGUACCGGCAGGGAUCGCGGCCAGUUCUGUGAAGCCCUGCCGCUGCAGCAGGGCUCGUAGCGCCCGGGUAGACAGCUCCCCGACUGCCACCACCGCGCUGCCGGCUGCCGCGGCUGCCGCUGCGCCGGCUGCGGCUUCAUCUGCUGUCGACAGCAGCAGCCGCUGCUGCAUCUCAUGGUGGCCAGUAGCGUCCGGCCCGUCCUUGUCCGGCCCCUCCUCCUCGGCCCACUCCUCAUCUUCCGCCUCCUCAUCUUCCUCCGCCCCGGCCUUCUCUUCCUCGUCUUGCUCGACCUCCUGUCCCUCCUCUUCCAGCUCGUCUGGUUGCUCCCCCUCCUCUCCAGCGACUGCAGCUGCUCCCUGCCUGCGCUGAUCGUCGCCGCCGCCGACGUCCAUGCGGUCGCGGCCGCCAUCAGCUGCCGGCCGCGGCUGAAGGCCCAACCAGUGGCGAACGAAGUCUGUCCAGUCAGCGUGCCACACAUUGGGGCAGCCACGGAUGGCCUCCCUGCAGACGGUGGCAGAGGGGGUCAUCGCCUGAAGCUCCAAGACCAAAGUAACCCAAGCCUAAAAUUACCUAACGACAGGAUGGUGCAGGCGCCCAAGACACAGCUUGCCCCAUGCAGGAAAGACCUGCUUCCACCUAGCACGACGCACGUACGGUAUGUAAACUCACAGCAAGUUGGGGCUAGUGUGUUCGCCCGGGUGCAGCAGCUCCAAGUCCAUGCCGGCGUCCAGGGCCCGCCUUACACGUGGGGUGAAGUCGUCAUCGCCAGUGAUCAGCACCAGCACACUGCGGGCGGCGCGGCCGGUGACGCACUGCUGCUCGAUGAAGGCAUCUAUGUGCUGCGAAGGGAGGGCGGGUGCAGACGCGAAAGCGGAUGGGGGAUCAGGGAUAUGUAAAGGCCCGGUACAGACGGCAUCGACAGCCGCUCGCCAGCCGGACAAGCCGCAACCCGGCCGCCCAUUCCAAGCUGCUUGCCUCUGGCGUGUUACGGUCUGCAGGCCCGUCAAUUUCUUACCCAGGCGACACGUGCAUGUAUGAUGCCGGCAUGCGCAUGCCCUGCUACCUCCGUACCUGCAGCAGCUUGGCAUCAGCGGAGGUGCUCUUGGUGCCGCCGGCCGCGAGCAUCACCGUGAUGCGGGCGCACAGCGCUGCCAGCUGCUGCUCCCGGUAGCCCUGGCUCAUGUUCCCAAGGGCGGUCAGGCUGAGCGCGGCCAGGAAGCCGUGGCGCUUGCGGCGAGGCAGGUAGGCGAAAGCGCUGGAGAUGGCCCUGGCAGGUGUGAGUGUGCGGGGCGGCGGGAUGGGGGCGGGGGCGGCAUGGGCCGGGAAAGGAAACUCGUGUGCGCACAAGGGACAGAAAGAGUAGACGAAGCGGGACGUCGUGGCGGGACGUAGAGCGGGAAAGUUGUUGACGAGUUCAGAGGCCAGGGGGGUCAGUCCCUAACAACUGCGCCGGCUGGCAGAUUCGUUCUGGCUCCCCCCCCCCGAGCAAAGUUUGCUUGACUUUUGGGACUCGGGCACAUAACCCCCCCCCCCCCCCUCCCGCGUACACACGACUCACUCCUCCGCCUCCACCAGCUGCACUCUGGCAGGGGGCUUGGCGUUCUCAAUGUCCCAUGCGAUCAGCACGUCCUUCUGCAGCGGCCCAUCCCGCCAACCAGCCCGCAGAUGCUGCAGGGGACUGCUGGGCAGGAGCUCCGGGGGGCUGUUGCUGCGCGGCCGCUGACGCGAGCGGGCCAAGGCGCGGGCUGCUGCCUUCGCCUGGAGGAGCCGUGGGCACGGCCGUGGGGGCCUGCUUGGCGACUGUCGGGUUGUUGCCUUCCGCCCUCUCUUCGCCCGGCCCUUGCCCAUUGCGCCUAGGACCUAUCCCUACAACAAUGUUAAGUAGCACUCUCUUCGCUGCUUUAACCAGAUCCAGGCAUCUUAUGUUCGCGCCUAAGCUUGCUUCAUUGCCAUCGCCUGCUUUGCAAGACCGUGGCGUCCAGUGGCUUCCCGCUUAGCAACUCAACGCUGUCGUCGUAGUUUGUUGCUUCAUGUAUAAAAAGCUGUGCUGCGAGCGCGACACGACCCCACGUUCAGUCGGAUUUGCUCCGUCACGGGUCAUUGGGUUACGGAGAGAGGUGCACCAUCAUACGCGCCAUACCGAUGUGGGUUAAGCUGCACACUGUUGCGGCCUUAUGCGCCAGUACUUGUAAUCCGCAUCCUCAUGCGCAUUGUACCCAUUGAUGCGGACGCUGGGUCGCUGGCCCCAAAAGAGUGCCGCAUCUCUGAGCUCUGCCCAUCAAGCCUCCAUCUCCGUGCCUAUCCACGACCCCCAACUUGCCGCCGCAUCUCUAAGCUCUGCAUAGCACGCCUCCAUCUGACCAUCUCCAUCUCCAUCCCCAUUCCCAUCCCCAUCCACGACCCCCGAUCGCCUCGCGACAACUUGGCAUACUGCGACAACUUGGCCUUGCAAAACCCGGUCUCGCGGAGGCCUUCGACGCGUGCUGUGCAGAGGCUGUAUGUACGUAGCCGCUACUCAAUGAGACAACUACAGCCGCGCCCGAGAGGUAGGUGUGUUGUGGCACUUAGUCCCGAAAGCGUCCCGAACCCAUCCCUGAUGCCCCGUGCAGUCCGACAACUCGUCAUCCACAGAGGCGGCUCUGCUUACCCUCGCUCGCCACUCCGUACUGCCGCAGCAUCAGCAGACGGGGUCCCUCCACUGGACUUGCUCGUGGCGGUUGAGGUAGCGCUGUGCAGCGGAGCCCUGCUCCCGACCCGCUCCUGCCGCGGCCGCUGCUGCGCCUGCGCCUGUUGCCGCUCGGCUCUUGUGCGCUGGUGUGUCGGGCGCCACCGCAGCUGCCGCCGCCACCGCGUGCGGCCCUGUCGCGGGCGUGGAUGCACGCCGCAGCCGCACCUCGUGUGGGCGGCCUGGCGUGCACAGGCCCGGAGGCGUCGACGUCUGCGGCGACUGCCGGGUUGGCUUCUGCAUCUGCAGCGUCGGCUGACGCUGCUGCUGGUGCUGCUCCGGCUCUGGCGGUAGCAGUGGCCGCUCUGCGGGCUGCCGCCGCGGCGGCUGCGGUUGCAGCGGCUUCGCUUGCUGUGCGCCCUCGUGACCCUGAACAGCAGGCGCGGCGCCGGCGGUGCCGCCGUAAUCAACGCCACGACAUGGCAUGUUGGGUUUGUGCGCCUCGGCAUUGCUGCCGCCAUCCAGCAGCCGGGCCUUGGCGGCAACCCGUCUUCUGCCGCUGCCGCUAGGGCUCUCUGCAUCGCAGCAGCCGUCAUUGCCGUAAUCGACAUCCGGCGCUGCUGCCCGCCGCUUCUUCCCGCCGGCCUUGCCAUCACCCAUGCCAUUGCGAGUGUCAGGCGCCGCCGCCGCUGAUGGUGCAGCGCCUCCGCUGGCCACCGCGGCCAGUGGCCGCAAGGGCACAUGCAGCGCGUCGACGGCGGCGGCGGUGGGACAGACAUGGCCCACGUCCUUGCGAGCCGCCGUGCGGGCGCCUGCGCCGUCUGCUCCUCCCCCAUCCUCACGACCCGCUGGGCCCACUGCGCCUGCUGCACCCGCCGCGCCGGCUGCUGUUGCGUGCCUGCGUGAGGGUGCCUUGUGCGGCCCGUGCGGCUGCUGCGGCACAGACCACGACCCCGCUACGUCCUGCGGGAGGAGCGGCGGCGCCCGCGGCGGCGGCGCCGGCGGCAGCAGCAGCUGGGGCUGCUCCGCCAGUAGCAGGAGCAGUUGUGCACGCAGCUGCCCCAGGGCCAGGCGCAGGGCGCCGCGGGGGUGGCACUCCGCGGCGGUGGCGGUGGCGGCGGCAUGGUGCCGGAGGAAAAGCGUGCCGCCGUCGCAUGGGCUGGCUGUGAGCCCGCAGCCCACGCGGGCAGCCCUGUGUGUUUCGUGAUGCGAGGGGCAGCCGGGAGCCGGGUACGGCAAGAUCAGGUGUGGCAAUGCGUGAGUGGUGCGCAGUUCUGGAAAUGCAAGGUCCAUUCAACCACCUACCCAGCCACCUCCAAAGCACCCAUGCCUCCGUUCUGCACUUCCGAUCAUACAAUGGACGAGCUUGGCAGUUGGUCUACACUGCAUACAAAGCCGUGCCGGUCUACAACUUGCGUGCACCACGCCACUCACAGUUGCUGCAGACGUGCGAAGGCGGCGCCGCCGGUCCGCUGCUGCGCCAGCAGCCAGCCGGUGACGCCCCGUAGCGCGGCGGCGGGCUCGGGCGCCGCCUGCACCGGCAGCAGGCUGUCCAGGCGGAGUGAGGCGCGCGCCAGCAGCACCUGCUGCGCCUCCUCCUCCUGCUGCGCCUCCUCCUCAUGCUGCAGCUGCUGCUGCUGCUGCUGCUGCUGCAGCGGGUCCUGCUGCUGCUGCCACUGCAGCGGAGGCUGAGGCGGCGGCGGCGGCGGCAGCAGGUGUGCCAGGUGCGGCGGCAGCGACGGCAGCGGCGGCGGCGGUUUCGGCGGUGGUAGUGGCGCCCCCGCCAUUCGCAAGCACCUGCCCGGGCGGUAGCCAAAACGGCCCACGCUCCCGGCAGCGCUAACGUCUCCCGCUGCUACUGACACACCGGCGCCGCCGCAGCCGCCGCCGUAGCCGUCACCACCGCCGCCACCACCCUUGCAGCCGCAAAACCGCCCGAAUGCACCGCGGUUGCUGCCGCCGCAGCUGUACGCUUCACCGCCGCCCCCAGCUCCGCGACACUGCGUUGCCAGCGGCUGCUGUUCCACACUGCCGCCAGAUGAAACCUCGCCGCCGCCACCGCCGCCGCCGCCGCCCUGACAACCGCCGCCACCCGCCACGCUGCCGACAGAGGCCGCGGCGCCCCCCGCGCUCGCCGCCGCUGUGGGCGUGCGCGGCGCCAUAGCAUCGUCUGGCGCGGCGGCGGCGCCGCCGCCGCGGGAGCCGCCGUUGCUGGCGCCCUCUGACGCUGCGCAGCCGCCGUCGCCGCCGCCACCACCGCUUACUUGCCAUGAUACGGCGACGCCGGCCUCGUGCCCACAGCAGUGCUGCCGCUGCUCGGGCUGUUGCUGUUGCUGCUGUUGCUUUUGCUGUUGUUGCUGCUGUUGCUGCUGCUGUUGUUGCUUUUGCUGUUGUUGCUGCUGUUGCUCUUGUUGCGGGUGGUGGUCUUGGUGGCCCUGGUGGUGCUGUUGUUGCCGCUGGUCGUGUUGCUGCGGCUGCGGCCGCAGUAUCGACGGCAUGGGUAUCUCCGGGUGCAGCCGCUCUGGCUCCACAGCCUGUGGCAGCUGCGGCGGCUGCACGUGCGGUUGCGGCUGUAGCACACGCGGCUGCGGCAUGAACGGCUGUAGCAGCGGCGACGCCCACUGCGGCAGCUGCAGCAGCCCAGCGAACGGCGACGAGCCAGGCAACAGCGCCUGCAGCGCCGGCGACAAUGGGCUGCCGAGGUGCACCAGCGGCGUGUGUGGAAAUGGCAGUAGCUGGCCAAACCCCGGGCCCGGGUGCAUGAACGGUGUCGGCGGCCACUGCGGCUGCUGCGGCAUCCCAGGGCCGCGCUGUGGUAUUGCCAUCGCCGCCGGUGUCUGUGAGUUCAGCAGCACGGCGGCGGCGGUCGCAGCGGUCGUGGCGGCGCUGCCGGCGGCGGCCUCCGUGCUCAACAGCGGCUGGGUGUUGAGCAUGAACUGCAGGAACUGCUGCCAAUUGGCGUGCCAGGCAUUGGCGCGGCCAUUGACGGCGGUUCUGGCGAGCGAGACGAGGCAGAGGAAGGCAAAAGUUCAAUUGUGUUUGGAGGUGCAUCAAGCGUUCUGUAACUGAGGGGAUGAGUAACGUGGAACACGCCCGACCCAUAUCUCUGCAGGCGGCAUGCGCACGGGGUGCGACCCGACCCACAUCAGCCGACCUCUGUGAGCUGUGGUGUGGGUUCCGCGCCUAUGCAUCCUCCUGUGCCCCCGCCUGUACACCGCCCCUCUCCCUCCCCCAGGCUCCCCCCUCUCCCUCCCCCGCCCUCCUCGCUGCUGCCACACACACUCUCCACCGCCCCACGGCCCCCUCCCCCCCCCACGCCCCCCCCCACGGCCCCUCUCCGGCCUCACUCACAGCAGUUUGCCGCUGGUGGAGCCCGGCCCCGGGUGCAGCAGCUCCACGUCCAUGCCGGCGUCCAGGGCCCUGCGCACCCCCGUGGUGAAGUCGUCGUCGCCGGUGAUCAGCACCAGCACGCUGCGGGCGGCGCGGCCGGUGGCGCACUGCUGCUCGAUGAAGGCGUCGAUGCUCUGCGCGGAGGAUUGGGGGGAGGUGGAUGGGGGGGGGGAAGGGGAUCGGGGGAGGAGGGGGCAGGGG